UGAUUAGACUUCAUCAAGGCCGCCAUGGG
rnacentral:piRNA from 1 species